CAAGCCUCGCAGCAUGAAGGCCCGGUGCCCCCCUCCCCGCCUCACCACGCCGACACCGGAGUCGUGGAAAGGAGGAGUAUGAGGAUGGGUUUCAUGUCCCUGGUGUCAUGGAGGGUUCCUCAGGCCAGAUGUUGGACUCCCUGGGCCUCUGCUGCUGAAGGACUCUGGGGUUUUGUGAUGAUCCACAGGCUCCACUAGAAGAUGCGUUAAUAUUUCCGAUUUAGACCUGAAUGUGAAGAAUGACACAUCCCACUGAGGAGAGACUGAGUUUCACUUCAUGCUUCAGCCAGAGCACACGGAUACGACAAGCAUGCCAAACUCUUUCAUCUGCCUGGGAUUGCUCUCUUCCAGAGUGGUUUUCCUUUCUAAGAUGCUGUUAAACUCCCUUCCUCAUGAGUUUCCCAUCCUUUAAAUGAAGAGGGAACCGUUCCAGUCCUGGAGAUAUCCUGAUGUCUUUUCUGCAGCGUGGGAAGGAGAUGGAAAGAAAACAGCAAGAACUGCUUGUUUGGUGCAUUCCUGGGGACUGUGCUUGCCCCUGCAGUAUCCCAGCACCA